rnacentral:rRNA from 1 species
UGGGGAAUAUUGGACAAUGGGCGCAAGCCUGAUCCAGCCAUGCCGCGUGAGUGAUGAAGGCCCUAGGGUUGUAAAGCUCUUUCACCGGUGAAGAUAAUGACGGUAACCGGAGAAGAAGCCCCGGCUAACUUCGUGCCAGCAGCCGCGGUAAUACGAAGGGGGCUAGCGUUGUUCGGAAUUACUGGGCGUAAAGCGCACGUAGGCGGACAUUUAAGUCAGGGGUGAAAUCCCGGGGCUCAACCCCGGAACUGCCUUUGAUACUGGGUGUCUAGAGUUCGAGAGAGGUGAGUGGAAUUCCGAGUGUAGAGGUGAAAUUCGUAGAUAUUCGGAGGAACACCAGUGGCGAAGGCGGCUCACUGGCUCGAUACUGACGCUGAGGUGCGAAAAGCGUGGGGAGCAAAACAGGAUUAGAUACCCUGGUAGUCCACGCCGUAAAACGAUGGAAGCCAGCUGUCGGCAAGUUUACUUGUCGGUGGCGCAGCUAACGCAUUAAGCUUCCCCGCCUGGGGGAGUACGGUCGCAAGAUUAAAACUCAAAUGAAUUGACGGGGGUCAUAGCUGUUUCCUG